rnacentral:rRNA from 1 species
AACGAACGCUGGCGGCAGGCCUAACACAUGCAAGUCGAGCGCUCACUUCGGUGGGAGCGGCGGACGGGUUAGUAACGCGUGGGAACGUGCCCAGAUCUAAGGAAUAGCCACUGGAAACGUGAGUAAUACCUUAUACGCCCUUCGGGGGAAAGAUUUAUCGGAUUUGGAUCGGCCCGCGUUAGAUUAGGAUAGUUGGUGGGUAACGGCCUACCAAGUCUACGAUCUAUAGCUGGUUUUAGAGGAUGAUCAGCAACACUGGGACUGAGACACGGCCCAGACUCCUACGGGAGGCAGCAGUGGGGAAUCUUGGACAAUGGGGCAACCCUGAUCCAGCCAUGCCGCGUGAGUGAUGAAGGCCUUAGGGU